GAUGAACGCUAGCGACAGGCUUAACACAUGCAAGUCGAGGGGCAGCAUAGAAGUAGCAAUACUUUGGUGGCGACCGGCGCACGGGUGAGUAACGCGUAUGCAACCUACCUAUCAGAGGGGAAUAACCCGGCGAAAGUCGGACUAAUACCGCAUAAAACAGGGGCACCGCAUGGUGAUAUUUGUUAAAGAAAUUCGCUGAUAGAUGGGCAUGCGUUCCAUUAGGUAGUUGGUGAGGUAACGGCUCACCAAGCCGACGAUGGAUAGGGGAACUGAGAGGUUGGUCCCCCACACUGGUACUGAGACACGGACCAGACUCCUACGGGAGGCAGCAGUGAGGAAUAUUGGUCAAUGGGCGAGAGCCUGAACCAGCCAAGUCGCGUGAAGGAAGAAGGAUCUAUGGUUCGUAAACUUCCUUUGCAGGGGAAUAAAGUGCGGGACGUGUCCUGUUUUGUAUGUACCCUGAGAAUAAGGAUCGGCUAACUCCGUGCCAGCAGCCGCGGUAAUAC
rnacentral:rRNA from 1 species